rnacentral:rRNA from 1 species
CCUACGGGAGGCAGCAGUGAGGAAUAUUGGUCAAUGGGCGAGAGCCUGAACCAGCCAAGUCGCGUGAGGGAGUACUGCCCUAUGGGUUGUAAACCUCUUUUGUCGGGGAGCAAAAGCCGGACGUGUCCGGCUGUGAGAGUACCCGAAGAAAAAGCAUCGGCUAACUCCGUGCCAGCAGCCGCGGUAAUACGGAGGAUGCGAGCGUUAUUCGGAUUUAUUGGGUUUAAAGGGUGCGCAGGCGGAUUUUUAAGUCAGCGGUAAAAUCGUGGGGCUCAACCCCAUCCAGCCGUUGAAACUGGGGAUCUAGAGUGUGCGAGAGGUAUGCGGAAUGCGUGGUGUAGCGGUGAAAUGCAUAGAUAUCACGCAGAACCCCGAUUGCGAAGGCAGCAUACCGGUGCACAACUGACGCUCAGGCACGAAAGCGUGGGUAUCGAACAGGAUUAGAUACCCUGGUAGUC